ensembl:ncRNA Y52E8A.7 ncRNA
CUCAGGAUUAGGCUUAGGCUCAGGCUCAGGCCUAGGAUCAGGCUCAGGCCUAGGCUCAGGCUUAGGCUUAGGCUAAGGCUUAGGCUUAGGCUUAACCUUAGGCUUA